rnacentral:rRNA from 1 species
UACGUAGGGGGCAAGCGUUGUCCGGAAUCAUUGGGCGUAAAGAGCGUGUAGGCGGUCCGAUAAGUCCGCUCUGAAAGCCCGGGGCUCAACCCCGGGAGGCGGGCGGAUACUGUCGGGCUAGAGUCCGGAAGAGGCAAGUGGAAUUCCUGGUGUAGCGGUGAAAUGCGCAGAUAUCAGGAAGAACACCCGUGGCGAAGGCGGCUCUCUGGGACGGUACUGACGCUGAGACGCGAAAGCGUGGGGAGCGAACAGG